AGGGUCUUUGGCCCUUAAGGGCGCCAAUGAAGGCACCCCUCCCUACCCCAAGAUCUGUCUCCAGUGGUUUUUUUCCUUCCUGGGGCCCAAAGAGGGAGUGAGACUCGGAGGCUGCAGAUCCGGAGAGGAGGGUCCAGAAAACCAGGGGAGAAAGAAAUAAGGGUCUCACAGGUUGGUCCCGGGUCCUGGGAGCCAGGGGUUGAGGGGCCCCAGGCUCUGAGACCUCACUGUUCAGGACAGGGCUGGAUUUGGGGAGGAACAUGAGAUGGGUUUCGGAGAAGUGUGAGAAGCGGGGCGGAAGCCAAGAGCUGGCCUUGCUGGGUGAAGCUGGGCCUCCUAACAGGCUUCUCGUCUGGAGGUGAUGAGCUUCCCACAGGAAGACGGGGAACCAGGCUAGGGGAAGCCCUGGCUUUCAGUUGGGUCUGUGGAGGGGAGCUGGUUGGAGGAGGUGACCCCAAAGCCUUCCCCCACUCCGAUUCCCUCUGAGUCCCUGACCGCCCCCAGCUAAGCCUGGGGGGAGGGAGAAGGGCUGUGUCCCCCCCCACCCCCCCGUAGGCCUCCCUCUCCCUUUUUCCUCUGUGACAAAGAAUAAGCACCCCCUCCCUUUCCUGGUGACCACACAGCCAGCCGUGGGGGGUGGGGGGUGGGGGUGAUAUUCCCGUUGCUAUAGCAACAGCAGGCAGCUUGUGUCAGCAGGGGGUUGUGUGGACCAGAACCUGUUCUCUUCGGUUGGUUCCCACGCAGCCUGGGGGGAGGAUCUAAGAUCUAGGCUGCCCCCAGCCCCUCCCCCUCCCAGGCUUGGGGCUCACAGAAGCUUGAACGCCCCCCACCCCCAACUCCACCCCAACCCCUGUCCCCACCGCUGCCCUCAAGGUAACAUUCUGUGAGUAAUGGGGCAGCAGAAUCAGGAAAUCCCAGCUCUUGGCUGGAGAUGAGGGGACCUUGGCCGCCACAACUCCAGGGAGAAGGCGCACGACCCUCCCCCAUCCCUCUGACCCCAUGGUAAUGAACCUGGCCAGUGGGGGCCAGAAUGGGCACAGCUUGUCCAGGGCCCAGGGCUCAGACCUCCUCCCAGCAUUCCGCCUGCCCUCCCCUCCCCUGGAGGCUUGGUGCAGAUGCUGUUAGCACACGCACAACUCAGCAAGGUCACUGCUGGCAGGUCACCCCGUGAGCAGGAGCUGAGCGGGAGCGGGCAGUCACACCCCUGGAAUUGGCCCCAGCACCCUGGAGGGCAAGGCUGAUGGGCUGUGUUCCUGAGAGCCUGCUUUUCUGAGGAAUCUCAUCCUUUCCCUGCUGCACCGCCAGGGGAACUCCCCCCAUUCCUACUUCCAUUCGCUUCUGACACCCCUUGGGUCCCUGCAUUGGGCCUGCAAUGGGUACACACAUGCAGUCGGCCAGGCCUGGGGAAGUCUCCAUGGCUGAGGGUCUGGGCCACCUCCUGACUUCUCUGAGGUCCCAUGAUGCACAGUUGUCGAGUGCCCGCUGGGGCCAUCCUAUAAGGGUGGUGUUUCUCUCGUUGCAUGGAUGAGGAUGCCGAGACCCAGAGAGGGGCUCUGGGGCCUGGCAGAACCUGGGGUCACUUCUCUGCACCUCCUCAGCUCCACGGCCAGCUUUCUCCUUUGACAGUCAUCAGAGGGAGCCGACCUCUGGCCCAGGGGCAGGGUGGGGUCCGCAGCCCCCUGUCCCACCCU
rnacentral:lncRNA from 1 species